rnacentral:rRNA from 1 species
UACGUAGGGGGCAAGCGUUGUCCGGAUUUAUUGGGCGUAAAGAGCGUGUAGGCGGCUUGGUAGGUCCGCUGUGAAAACUCGAGGCUCAACCUCGAGAUGUCGGCGGAAACCACUUGGCUAGAGUCCGGAAGAGGAGAGUGGAAUUCCUGGUGUAGCGGUGAAAUGCACAGAUAUCAGGAAGAACACCUAUGGCGAAGGCAGCUCUCUGGGACGGUACUGACGCUGAGACGCGAAAGCGUGGGGAGCGAACAGG